GGCUGGGGCUAGGGCUGGGGGAGGGGGAAGGCCUGGGCGGGAGCCUCUGAGCUCUUUCCUUCUGUGACCACGGACCUGUCAGUUUCCAAACAGAAGGUGUGCCUCACUUGUGUGGAUUUUGUCACUGUGCAUGUAUGUAUGGGUUUCUGGGGCAUUGGUCCUGGUGCUCUCUCCACAUCCUGCAUCCCGUACCCCCUGUCUCAUGGCCCAGGCAGUGUGAAGGCGGAGAUGCUGCACAUGUACAGCCAGAAGGACCCGCUCAUCCUCUGCGUGCGCCUGGCCGUGCUGCUUGCGGUGACCCUCACUGUGCCAGUCGUGCUGUUCCCUAUCCGCCGGGCCCUGCAGCAGCUGCUUUUCCCAGGCAAGGCCUUCAGCUGGCCACGACAUGUGGCCAUAGCUCUGAUCCUGCUUGUUUUGGUCAAUGUCCUUGUCAUCUGUGUGCCAACCAUCCGGGAUAUCUUUGGAGUUAUUGGGUCCACCUCAGCCCCCAGCCUCAUCUUCAUCCUCCCCAGCAUCUUCUACCUCCGCAUCGUACCCUCUGAGGUGGAGCCUUUCUUAUCCUGGCCCAAGAUCCAGGUAAGCAUUCCAGGGCAGAGCUAGGGAGAGAGGGAGCACUCCAGGGAGGGAGUGCUCACUCCAGGAUGGCUGGAGGUGAAAGGGACAUGCAUAGGAGGGGGCUGGGAGAGCAUCUGAAAGAAUGGUCUGGAAGAAUGAAGGUGAUUGUCUUAGGAAGGGGCAGAGGAGACAGAGCACCAGCAGGGUCCAGGAAGACAGGGAGCACUCAAACAGAGGCUGGCAUAGAGGGAGCAUUCUCCAGACAGAUGGAAGGAGCACUAUUGGGAAGAGAGUUGGAAGCACUUUGAAGAAGGAGGAUGGAGGAAUGUAUUCUCUCA
rnacentral:sRNA from 1 species